AACUAUUACUAUUUUGAAUGUUCUGGCUGUGGUUGAAGAAUACUCGAGAAUGAAUUAGAAAAAUGUCAAAAUAUCUAGUAGAAACUGCACUUUUGCCUUAACUAUUAACUUUUCAAGCUUUGGAAGUACCAGACCUUCCGGGCACUGUCGCCUCAAUGAAUAUCUGAAGACUUAGCAGAUUAUGCAGCCUGCAGAUAACGAUACCUCUA